rnacentral:rRNA from 1 species
GAGCCGCAACCCCUAUCUUUAGUUGCCAUCAUUGAGUUGGGCACUCUAAAGAGACUGCCGGUGUCAAAACCCGGAGGAAGGUGGGGAUGACGUCAAGUCCUCAUGGCCUUUAUGACCAGGGCUACACACGUACUACAAUGGCCGGUACAAAGGCAGCGACACAGCGAUGUGAAGCGAAUCCCGAAAAGCCGGUCUCAGUCCGGAUUGGAGUCUGCAACUCGACUCCAUGAAGUUGGAAUCGCUAGUAAUCGCGGAUCAGCACGCCGCGGUGAAUACGUUCCCGGGCCUU